rnacentral:rRNA from 1 species
UCGCGGCCUAUCAGCUUGUUGGGGGRRRAAUGGCCUACCAAGGCGACGACGGGUAGCCGGCCUGAGAGGGCGACCGGCCACACUGGGACUGAGACACGGCCCAGACUCCUACGGGAGGCAGCAGUGGGGAAUAUUGCACAAUGGGCGAAAGCCUGAUGCAGCGACGCCGCGUGAGGGAUGACGGCCUUCGGGUUGUAAACCUCUUUCAGCAGGGAAGAAGCGAAAGUGACGGUACCUGCAGAAGAAGCGCCGGCUAACUACGUGCCAGCAGCCGCGGUAAUACGUAGGGCGCAAGCGUUGUCCGGAAUUAUUGGGCGUAAAGAGCUCGUAGGCGGCUUGUCACGUCGGAUGUGAAAGCCCGGGGCUUAACCCCGGGUCUGCAUUCGAUACGGGCUAGCUAGAGUGUGGUAGGGGAGAUCGGAAUUCCUGGUGUAGCGGUGAAAUGCGCAGAUAUCAGGAGGAACACCGGUGGCGAAGGCGGAUCUCUGGGCCAUUACUGACGCUGAGGAGCGAAAGCGUGGGGAGCGAACAGGAUUAGAUACCCUGGUAGUCCACGCCGUAAACGUUGGGAACUAGGUGUUGGCGACAUUCCACGUCGUCGGUGCCGCAGCUAACGCAUUAAGUUCCCCGCCUGGGGAGUACGGA